rnacentral:tRNA from 1 species
GGGCCGUUAGCUCAGCGGUAGAGCUGCAGACUUUUAAUCUGUAGGUCGAUGGUUCGAUCCCAUCACGGCCCACCA